AUCCAGCUGACGAGUCCCAAAUCGGACGAAACGCACGUCCUGGUU
rnacentral:hammerhead_ribozyme from 1 species